UUUGCAAAUACUGAAUUUGAAGUUUUGAAUGAUUUCAAGGUGACAUCCAGAAGGCAACUAAAAAUGUGAAUCUGAAGCUCUGGAAACAGCAUCAGAUUGGAACUACAGAUUUGAGAGCCUUGAGAAUUUAUUACAUCACUCAUGAAGAACACGGUGAGAGAACAGAGAACAUUUAGGAGGGAACUGUAAGGAACAAAAACAUUUGCUGGGUGGGCAGAAGAGAGAGCCUGGGAGGAAAUAUCAGGGGCUGUGAACAAGAACCAGGGAGAAGAAACGUUCAGGGAGGAAACAGCAGUCACAAGUGACAGAGAUUGGUGGUAAAUUACAUCACCUAUGUCAGAAAGGGUCCCUUAGACCUGCCAAUUAGGAGGCUUGGGUAUCGUAGCCUUAGCUAGAAUAGUUUCAGUGGAUUGGUGGGCUAUGGACUGAAGACAGAAGGUUAAGAAGCAAAUGUAGCAAUUGUAGAACAUGGUUUCAAGAAGUGCAGCCAUGAAAACAACAGACAGAUUUCAUUUAGAAAGGCAAGGUCAAAGGAGUUUUUUUACUUUUUUUUUUUUUUUUUUUUUAGAAGAAAGGCAGCUUGGAAUCUGUAUAAAUGAAAGAGAGAGAUAGAAUGGGUAAAAAUGAUUGAUGGAAGAAUUUUGACCUACUGGGUUUGAGGUAGGAGGGGAAAACAGAAGGGUGCUCUUCUCUGAAGGUGUAAAGAUAAAUUUAGAGCGGACAGAGCAGCAAAGAGUUGAAAAGUUUUUGUCUGUUGGCCUUCAAUUUAUCCAUGAAGGAAGGAGCAACGUUAUCUGCUACAAGGACGGAGGUGGCGGGGAAAGUCUGGACUGGUUUUUAGGAGACAAGGGGUGGGGGGUGAGGGAAAGACUAUAGAUAAGAGGACAAACAGAAGGUCUGCUUUCGCAGAUCUACUAUGGUCGAAAAUUAUUUUUUCUUUCCUCCCCUCUAUCCCUUCCUAACCUAAGCUUGUCGCAAAAAAGGCUUCAAGCUGCCAAAUCCAAAUUUUUCCACCAAUAUACCCCGAUACUAGUUUUUUCUCCAAAAACAACGGGCAACUAACACGCAGGGCAGAGAAAACAAACAGUUGCCCCAGGCUUCCUUCGUUCGAAUAGUGAAGACUGAGCUGGCCUCGGCACUGUGCAGACUCCCAACCUGUGCUACUGUGGGUUAUUCUCCUUAUAGUGCAGUCACCUCCUAAAUGCUUGCUGAAAAUAAUGGAAGACUUCGAGCCAGAUGUUUGCCUCUUAAGUAACGUCCCCCAAAAGAUGCAGCACAUAUUUAAGGCCUGCUGAAGCAAGCAACGCUGACGGACCAGGUUAUUGCGUUUUUCUCUCGCUGCGUGUCCGGACGCCACACUAUGAGCAUUAAGCGCAUACUGACCAAUUUCUGUUAAGCAGGAACGUGGUGUUCUGAUCAAAACACAGGGAGCCGCGGCCGCAACCGCGCCGAUAAGCUUCCGGGGUCCCAACCCUGUAAGGCAGAACGGCUGCCCAGCUCGGAUGACGCCACACUAACGUAGCCUCCAGACCGCCCAGUGUGGGUGUGUCCAAGCUCACGUCGCCCGGCGUGGCCCCCCCGCUCCCCAAUGACGUAACUGCCCUGCAGCUUCUAGUAGCUUUUCGCAGCGUCUCCGACCGCCGGGCGCGGUGGCGCGUGCCUGUAGUCCCAGCUACUCGGGAGGCUGAGGUGGGAGGAUCGCUUGAGCCCAGGAGUUCUGGGCUGUAGUGCGCUAUGCCGAUCGGGUGUCCGCACUAAUUCGGCAUCAAUAUGGUGACCUCCCGGGAGCGGGGGACCACCAGGUUGCCUAAGGAGGGGUGAACCGGCCCAGGUCGGAAACGGAGCAGGUCAAAACUCCCGUGCUGAUCAGUAGUGGGAUUGCGC
rnacentral:lncRNA from 1 species